rnacentral:lncRNA from 1 species
AACGGAUAUGCCUCACUGGGGACAGUGCAGGCGGGAACCUCUGCUUCACCGUGUCCCUCCAGGCAGCAGACUACGGAGUACAGGUGCCAGAUGGCAUCAUGGCAGCCUACCUGGCCAUAAUGCUGCAGUCUACCACCUCUCCUUCCCGCCUCCUGAGCCUCGUGGACCCCCUGCUGCCCCUCAGCGUGCUCUCCAAGUGUGUCAGCGCCCAUGCUGUGUUUCUCAUAUCAUAAGAUGGUACCACUGUCUCCCCACAUCAAUCAAGGCAAAAGCUUGAUAAAGAGCAGGGAGAAAUGUGACUCUCUCCACAUGGAUGACCAAUAGAAAUGGACAAAGAGUUUUUUUUUUCUUGGAGCAAAAUGGUGGGGUGAGCUGACCCAGGAUUCUCUCCCCUCCAAAAUACAACAAAAGAUUGGAAGAACUGAAUUUCAGAGAACAAAAAUAAUGCCAGCUCGUUAGAGACCUACAAUACCAAGAAGGCAGAGAUCAUAAACUUUGCUUACACCUUCGGAGGCGCUGGAACGGUAAGAGAGAACAUCGCUCCCUCCCCUAGAGUCUGCCAUCGCUGCGGUGCUGGUCGGGAAGGAGCGGGGGAGGGGCCGUGCGACCAGGGGAUCAUCCAGGACUCCUGCCGCUGAUUCAGUGGAGACCCGCUGACGGGGGGAAAGCUUCCGUCCGCGGGGACCCCAUAAAUCAAGGGCUUUGGGAGACCAGAGAACAGAACUGAUCUGAACCCAGACCAGCGCGUGUGAGUAACAGCCACUCCCCUCCCAGCAAAGCCAGUGGGCGCAGCCAUCUUGCCCCAAGGCGGAGAGCUAACACGCCGCUCUCGACCCCCAUCUAGUGGCGACAGGCUGUAACUGCAACUGAAUUCUACCACCAUGAGAAAAAACCGCUCCUCUACCAUCCAGUAAUUUAUAAAAGCCCCA